rnacentral:rRNA from 1 species
GAUGAACGCUGGCGGCGUGCCUAAUACAUGCAAGUCGAGCGAACGGACGAGAAGCUUGCUUCUCUGAUGUUAGCGGCGGACGGGUGAGUAACACGUGGAUAACCUACCUAUAAGACUGGGAUAACUUCGGGAAACCGGAGCUAAUACCGGAUAAUAUUUUGAACCGCAUGGUUCAAAAGUGAAAGACGGUCUUGCUGUCACUUAUAGAUGGAUCCGCGCUGCAUUAGCUAGUUGGUAAGGUAACGGCUUACCAAGGCAACGAUGCAUAGCCGACCGGAGAGGGUGAUCGGCCACACUGGAACUGAGACACGGUCCAGACUCCUACGGGAGGCAGCAGUAGGGAAUCUUCCGCAAUGGGCGAAAGCCUGACGGAGCAACGCCGCGUGAGUGAUGAAGGUCUUCGGAUCGUAAAACUCUGUUAUUAGGGAAGAACAUAUGUGUAAGUAACUGUGCACAGCUUGACGGUACCUAAUCAGAAAGCCACGGCUAACUACGUG